rnacentral:piRNA from 1 species
UUAAUGGUUUAUUUUAGUGAU